UACGUAGGGUGCGAGCGUUGUCCGGAAUUACUGGGCGUAAAGAGCUCGUAGGUGGUUUGUCGCGUUGUUCGUGAAAACUCACAACUCAAUUGUGGGCGUGCGGGCGAUACGGGCAGACUGGAGUACUGCAGGGGAGACUGGAAUUCCUGGUGUAGCGGUGGAAUGCGCAGAUAUCAGGAGGAACACCGGUGGCGAAGGCGGGUCUCUGGCAGUAACUGACGCUGGAGGAGCGAAAGCGUGGGGAGCGAACAGG
rnacentral:rRNA from 1 species